rnacentral:snoRNA from 1 species
AGCUCCUUCAAAGAGGGCUCAUGGGACAGAACCCAGGGGCUCUUAAUGCUGUGACCAAAGAUCAAGUUCUCCAUAGACUAUGGUUUCCUGAUGGAGACACAAGC